UCCAUACAAUCGUAGUUCCCAUUUCAUUUGAAUAUUAAGCAACCAAAAUCAAUGAAAUUUUGUGGGCAAGUUCUA